rnacentral:rRNA from 1 species
GUCCUUUUGAUUAUUAUUUAAGGUCUGACCUGCCCACUGAUUUAUUUAAUGGCCGCGGUAUUUUGACUGUGCGAAGGUAGCAUAAUAAUUUGUCUUUUAAUUGAAGGCUUGUAUGAAUGGUUGGACGAGAAAAUUUCUUUCUUUAUAAUAUAUAAAUUAACUUUAUUUUUUAGUUAAAAAGCUAAAAUGAUUAUGAAGGACGAGAAGACCCUAUAGAACUUUAUAUUUAUUUAAAUGAUAAUAUUUUUGGCUAAUAGUUUAUUUUAUUUUAUUAAAUAUUUUGUUGGGGCGACAAAAAAAUUUAUUUAACUUUUUUUAUUAAUUUCAUUAAUUAAUGUUUACUUGAUCCUUUAUUAUGGAUAAUAAGAAUAAGUUACCUUAGGGAUAACAGCGUAAUUUUUUUGUAGAGUUCUUAUCGAUAAAAAAGUUUGCGA